rnacentral:rRNA from 1 species
CAGCCGUAAACGAUGCGCGUUAGGUGUAUCGACGACCACGAGUCGUCGAGGUGCCGAAGGGAAACCGUGAAACGUGCCGCCUGGGAAGUACGGUCGCAAGGCUGAAACUUAAAGGAAUUGGCGGGGGGAGGCACCACAACAGGUGGAGCCUGCGGUUUAAUUUGGACUCAACGCCGGAAAUACUCACCGGAUAAGACAGCAAUAUGUAGGCCAGGCUGAAGACCUUGCCUGAAUCGCUGAGAGGAGGUGCAUGGCGUAGACCGUCU